GACGAACGCUGGCGGCGUGCUUAACACAUGCAAGUCGAACGGAAAGGCCCUGCUUUUGUGGGGUGCUCGAGUGGCGAACGGGUGAGUAACACGUGAGUAACCUGCCCUUGACUGUGGGAUAACUUCAGGCAACUGGGGCUAAUACCGGAUAGGAGCUCCUGCUGCAUGGUGGGGGUUGGAAAGUUUGUGCGGUUGUGGAUGGACUCGCGGGUUAUCAGCUUGUUGGUGGGGUAGUGGCUUACCAAGGCUUUGACGGGUAGCCGGCCUGAGAGGGUGACCGGCCACCUUAGUACUGCGAUACGGCCCAGACGCCUACGGGAGGCAGCAGUGGGGAAUAUUGCACAAUGAUCGGAAGCCUGUUACAGCAACCUCGCGUGCGGGAUGACGGUCUUCUGGUGAUAAACCGCUUUAGCCUGUGACGAAGCUUGAUUGACGGUAAUAAGUAAAGAAGCACCGGCUAACUACGUG
rnacentral:rRNA from 1 species